AAAGUCUCCUGAAGGAACGUUGAAGACGACGACGUUGAUAGGCCGGGUGUGUAAGCGCAGCGAUGCGUUGAGCUAACCGGUACUAAUGAACCGUGAGGCUUAACCUUACAACGCCGAAG
rnacentral:rRNA from 1 species